GCCCACGAAGCUCUGCGGUUGAGCGCCGGCCUUUUGGCUCGGAGGCGCUGGUUCGAAUCCAGCCGUGGGCA
rnacentral:tRNA from 1 species